GGGGAGGAGAGGAGAAGCGCAGGGGAACUUCCUCUUCCGGAUGCCUCAUGGGAGGAAGACGGUGGGCAGGGCGGCUUCUGUGCUCUUCCCAGGAUGGAAGCAGCAGUUGGCAGGAUUAUCCUCAUUUUGCUGGGAUUAGAAGACUCCAAAGAAUUCCAAGAUUCUUUAUUUCACCAACACCAUUCAAAAAGACAGGUUAUAAUCUUUUUCAGUAUGUCACAAUCAUGUGAUACCUUUCCAGGACACAACCAAGUGUGUGGAGAAACCAAGAGGCUCCUGGCCAGUCUUA
rnacentral:lncRNA from 1 species